rnacentral:lncRNA from 1 species
GGAAUAGAUUUGUUGAGUGAUUUUAACUUUCGAUCACUUUUGAAGGAGGUAAAUCUAGUCUUUUCCUUUAAUGCUGUGUGAGAAUUUAGAACAAUGAGAGUCAUAUCUGACUGAGAAAUAUGAGCCAGUUAAAUGUUACUGUUACCUGCAUUUUCAAAUUAAACCCUUUGGAAGAGCUGUGGUUUUUUUCACAACGGGAAGUUGGUCGUAAGGCCUUUAUAUAAGGAGGAUAUUACUAUAUAAUAAAGGUAGAUUUUAUCCGAAAGGAUGUUAAUCAUAAACUAGUGAAUCUUAAUUAUAUAUCUACGUGUUUUUAUGAAAACACAGAAAGUUUAACGUGCUCUUUUUAUCAUAGAGCUAUAUGAGGUUAAUUUGUAAUGUUGUUCUACUGUUUUUGAGUCGCAUUUGUAAUGUUCUGUUAGUUUGUGAUGUUGUUGUGUUGGUUUGUGUGUCUCAGUGCCUCUGAAGAGCAUCUCAGUGGAGCUUCUGGUUCAGGAUCAUGUAGCCACAGUCUCCUCCACUCUGAAGUAUGUAAAUGAGGAAGAGCGCCCCCUGGAGGCCUUGUUCGUCUUCCCUCUGCCUGCUGAUGCUGCUGUCUGCCACUUCAGUGCCAAGAUCGGAGAGCAGGAGAUUGUGGCAGAGGUGCAGGACAGAGAAACCCCACUCAACCGGCUCAACCACCAGUGUCUGAACGAACUAAAUCUAAAUCACUAAUAGGUAAGUGCACCUCAAUUUGAUAUUAGUUUUGUGAAAGGGUUAAGUAUGCAAUGUUUUAACUUAUUUUUUCAACACAAACCUUGUUUUCAAUGAAUUUCACAAACAAGCAUCAGCAAACCACAUUAAUAAACAGAGACCACUAAAUGGUUCCCUGUCACUUAAGUUAACAAAAUGUGAAUUAGUUUUUUAGGGAAACUGCGUCAAGCACUUUCUCUUAAUCAGGGUAAAAUAAAUCAUAGUGAUUAGUUGUAUUUUUUUGUGUAUGUUGGUUUUCCUUUUGUGGUGGUGAAAUCCCU